UCCGCAGGCGGAAAAAUAAGUCAGUGGUGAAAGCCUACAGCUUAACUGUAGAACUGCCAUUGAAACUGUUUUUCUUGAGUAUAGAUGAAGUGGGCGGAAUGUGUCAUGUAGCGGUGAAAUGCAUAGAUAUGACACAGAACACCGAUUGCGAAGGCAGCUCACUAAACUAUUACUGACGCUCAUGGACGAAAACGUGGGGAGCGAACAGGAUUAGAUACCCUGGUAGUCC
rnacentral:rRNA from 1 species